UCGAGAAUCAUUCACAAUGGGGGAAACCCUGAUGGUGCGACGCCGCGUGGAGGAUAAGGUCUUCGGAUUGUAAACUCCUGUCAUGUGAGAGUAAGGAUUUGCGGGUAACUCUGUAAAUUUUGAUAGUAUCACAAGAGGAAGAGACGGCUAACUCUGUGCCAGCAGCCGCGGUAAUACAGAGGUCUCAAGCGUUGUUCGGAAUCACUGGGCGUAAAGGGUGCGCAGGCGGCGUGGAAAGUCAGAUGUGAAAUCCGGGGGCUCAACCUCCGAAUUGCAUCCGAUACUCCCAUGCUAGAGAACUGGAGAGGAGUCUGGAAUUCUCGGUGUAGCAGUGAAAUGCAUAGAUAUCGAGAGGAACACUAGUGGCGAAGGCGAGACUCUGGACAGUAUCUGACGCUCAUGCACGAAGGUCAGGGUAGCGAACGGG
rnacentral:rRNA from 1 species